GAUGAACGCUGGCGGCGUGCUUAACACAUGCAAGUCGAACGGUGAAGCAAGGCUUUUUCUGUGGUGCCGUUGCGAACGGGUGAGUAACACAUGAGCAACCUGCCCCCCACUCUGGGAUAAGCGCUUGAAACGGCGUCUAAUUCUUGCUAUGAGCUACAUCCGCAUGGACAGCACAUGGAAAGAUUUUUCUGUUUGUGAUGGUCUCACGGCCUAUCAGCUUGUUGGUGAGGUAAGGGCUGACGAAGGCUUCGCCGGGUAGCCGGCCUGAGAGGGUGAACGGGGACCAUGGGACUGCGAGACGGACCAGUAGCCUACGGGAGGCAGCAGUGGAGAAUAUUACGGAGUGGGGGCAAGCCUGAUGCAGCAACGCUGCGUGCGGAAUGACGGCUUUCGGGUUGUAAACCACUUUGAGAAGAGAAGAAGAGAACGUGACGGUACCUGCAGAAAAAGCGCCGGCUAACUACGUG
rnacentral:rRNA from 1 species